CCUUUUUAAAGCCCAGUCUGCGCUUCUGGGCGCGUUUAAGGAGACGCGCUUUGAUAUGUUGCUUUUGGAUCUUGAUGUCCCUGAAAUUUGAGCUCUUUAACGGUGGCACUUGUGACACCAGCAACUACUUCCCCUCCCAUCGGGGGGAGGCUGCCAAACUGGACAAAUAUCGUGCAGACGAGCCACGUAAACCGGACAAACUCCUGAUAUACAUCGGCUGCAGAAACAACACACGUCCCACGACCUGACAAUGUAUGGUAAACAUUUGACAAGACUGGUGUUGGCCGAUCGAUCCGCGCGUGAAAACGACUCUUCAUCGUGCUCCCUGAACCAGUUUUCCACAGUCUGAUCCGGAUGAAUCCUGGCAUUGUCAUUCCGUGUCACAUGGUUAUUUAAGGAAUGAGAAGCUGCAUGCACCAUUUGUCAGCAUUAAAUGACUUAUUGUCAGCUAAAACAUAUUAAUCUCUUCUGUGUUUUUCUGUUGGGAGUCUUCUGUCAGAAUGACUCAGGUGGAGGAGCUGGACUGCUUCGUUAAAUGCUAACAUCACAACAGCAGCACUCCUCUCCAGCCCUGCUCCCACUCUCAACACCACCCCACUCGCUGUAAGGGAGCCCGAUGCUGAAGAAGACUCCCAUCGCCAUAGUGAUUACCAUUCUGUAACCCUCACCCUGGUAAUCAUGAAGUUCUUUGAGACACGGAUGCUCCUGCACAUCCAGAACUAUCUUCCCCAGACUUUGACCCCUAUCAGUUAAGAAGACCCUGCAGCGACUUUCCUUCCCAACAGUCCUCAGGAAACAAAAUCUGGACCACAAGCAGCUAAUCACCUUCUAGGCUCGUCCAUGAAGGGCCAGCUGAUGUACUAUACCACAGCUUGGUAUGGCAACUGCACCAUGGCAGAUAGGGUGAGGCUCCAGAGAGUGGAAUCAGCAUCACAGGAGAUCAUUAGCUCCCCUCUCUGAUGGACAUCUACACCUCCUGUCGCCUCAGCACAGCAAGGAAUAUCAUCAAGGACCAUUCCAAUCCUGGCUCUGAUCUGCUGCCUUCAGGAAGGUGCUACAGGUGUGUCAGGACAAAACAAAUGUUUCUUUCCAAAAGCUGCCUUCACCGUAAUCUCAAACUAGGACUGACUCACAGUGAAUAUAUACACACGUAUAGCUCCUUUGAACACUGGUGUUAUGUAUUAUCUUUUCUACAAUUAUGUUGUGGGCAAAGGAGGAGCAAACGGUCUAGAGGCUGUGAUGCUGGACUCCUCACUGAAGUCCGUGAAAAUCUCGUAAAUGGAAAUGGAGUCAACUAAAAGUGGCAGUGUGAGCGUCCUGUCACAGUGUCCCGGUUGACUAUGCGCCCUGGCUACUUGGCUAAGGGGUGUCCCUUUGGCUGACUGGUAAGCGCACGUGACUCUCACCCGGGAGUCUGGGAAUCGAAUCCUGCCCUGGCCCUCGAUUCUCCACCUUGCCACAUAAAUAUCCACAAAACUGUUAUGUAUUGUGUCAUUAGUUCUUCUGCAAAAGCAAAUAAAUGUUUUCAGCUA